rnacentral:lncRNA from 1 species
CCCCUGCAACUUCAUAAACAACAAAUAUCACUGACACCGUUAACGGAAAAUCAAUUUACUUUUAUACCCUUCAAGCACACAUCAGUCCGUCUAAUCCAGGAUUCUAAAUGCAAUCCAUCUGAAUCUCAAAAUACUAUAAAAAAAAACAGUUGUUUUUGUGUUGCGGUAAUAGAUACAAACCCUAAACUCUUAACACCAUCACCUUCUUAGCACAGCCACCUUUACAAAUCACCAUAGCCACAGCACCAUCUUCACCGCCGUAAACACAUAUGCCUUUAUCGCCACCACCAUAUCAGCCAAUGGGGGCAACUCAAUCUUCCUUCCCAAAGCCAUUGUCUUCCCCCAUCCCGAAUUAUCCGAAAGCCCACCUCUCACAACCCUAUUAAAUGCAAAAUUAGGGUUGGAAUCAACAUGAUUAUUCUACUGAGUUUACCAAAAGU